UAGGUGUCCCGCCAUCGGGUGGCCGUGUGCCAGCUCCAUGACCGUCUCCGUCUUGGUGGUAGGCAUGACCAGGAGGAAUUUGUCCUCCCCCCGCCUGUGGGCAACACAGUACAGCAGACCAUUGCGUAUUUCGAAAUGAGGGAGGGGGGGGGGCCCCGGGAGCCUGUCUACCUCAUCAAUGCAGCGCACUUGAUCCCAGCAGUUCCGCAGGUGCCCCCGUCGGGGACCGCC